UGGUGGGGUGACUUGCCUGCUUAAUUGCGAUAACGAACGAGACCUUAACCUGCUAAAUAGCCCGCAUUGCUCCGGCAGUGCGCUGGCUUCUUAGAGGGACUUUCGGCUCAAGCCGAAGGAAGUUUGAGGCAAUAACA
rnacentral:rRNA from 1 species